GACCUUGAAAUACCACCCUUUAAUGUUUGAUGUUCUAACGUGGACCCGUGAUCCGGGUUGCGGACAGUGUCUGGUGGGUAGUUUGACUGGGGCGGUCUCCUCCUAAAGAGUAACGGAGGAGCACGAAGGUUGGCUAAUCCUGGUCGGACAUCAGGAGGUUAGUGCAAUGGCAUAAGCCAGCUUGACUGCGAGCGUGACGGCGCGAGCAGGUGCGAAAGCAGGUCAUAGUGAUCCGGUGGUUCUGAAUGGAAGGGCCAUCGCUCAACGGAUAAAAGGUACUCCGGGGAUAACAGGCUGAUACCGCCCAAGAGUUCAUAUCGACGGCGGUGUUUGGCACCUCGAUGUCGGCUCAUCACAUCCUGGGGCUGAAGUAGGUCCCAAGGGUAUGGCUGUUCGCCAUUUAAAGUGGUACGCGAGCUGGGUUUAGAACGUCGUGAGACAGUUCGGUCCCUAUCUGCCGUGGGCGCUGGAGAACUGAGGGGGGCUGCUCCUAGUACGAGAGGACCGGAGUGGACGCAUCACUGGUGUUCGGG
rnacentral:rRNA from 1 species